rnacentral:rRNA from 1 species
CGUCAAGUCAUCAUGCCCCUUAUGUCUUGGGCUACACACGUACUACAAUGGUCGGAAACAGAGGGAAGCGAAGCCGCGAGGCAGAGCAAACCCCAGAAACCCGAUCUCAGUUCGGAUCGCAGGCUGCAACCCGCCUGCGUGAAGUCGGAAUCGCUAGUAAUCGCAGGUCAGCAUACUGCGGUGAAUACGUUCCCGGGCCUUGUACACACCGCCCGUCACACCACGAAAGUUGGUAACACCCGAAGCCGGUGAGGUAACCAGAAAUGGAGCCAGCCGUCUAAGGUGGGGCCGAUGAUUGGGGU